rnacentral:rRNA from 1 species
CCUACGGGAGGCAGCAGUAGGGAAUAUUGCUCAAUGGGGGAAACCCUGAAGCAGCAACGCCGCGUGGAGGAUGACGGUUUUCGGAUUGUAAACUCCUUUUGUUAGAGAAGAUACUGACGGUAUCUAACGAAUAAGCACCUGCUAACUCCGUGCCAGCAGCCGCGGUAUUACGGAGGGUGCAAGCGUUCCUCGGAAUCACUGGGCGUAAAGAGCGCGUAGGCGGGUUAGCAAGUCAGUUGUGAAAUCCUAGGGCUUAACCAUAGAACUGCAUGUGAAACUAUUAUUCGAGAGUAUGAGAGAGGAGGGUGGAAGUCUUGGUGUAGGGGUGAAAGCCGUAGAGAUCAGGAGGAAUACUCAUAGCGAAGGCGGCCAGCUGGAUCAAAACUGACGCUGAGGCGCGAAAGCGUGGGGAGCAAACAGGAUUAGAUACCCCAGUAGUC